rnacentral:tRNA from 1 species
CGGAGUGUAGUAUAGUGGCAGUACGCAAGGCUGGGGGUCUUGUAGUUGGAGUUCGAUUCUCCACACUCCGA